AAAACCAGCAAUAACCAGAAACUGUAUCACACCAAAGAAGCACUGAUAUGAUGUUACAGAAAGCCUAGCCGGGUACUUCUUCAGAACCGGUGCUUGUAAAACAAGCCAAGCGGACCAGGAGAGGCAAUGGCCUAUUAGAAAGAUGCAACCAAGUGUCCAGUUUUUGCCCUUAGCAUCGCCAAGAGACAGAGAACCCAACAUUGGUGAAACAAUAUCAUAUCCACUGUUAGCCCCUUGGAGUGGCGGAGGUGGACUAUAUAUUGUAGGACCUUUGUAAAGUGUGAUCACUGAGGCACCCGCGACGCAGAAGAGUGUUCCAGCAACUUUUCCUAUGCCAUCCUUACGAUUAAGUCUUACUUGUUCGAUCCUGGAAUAUAUUUAUCAUGAUCAUGGAAAGUAAAGUUUUAAUAAGUCUUCCUUUAUAGACCAAACAAUUAAUUAACUGGCUAUAGUAUACUAGUUAUGAAGGCUUGCCGGAGAAUUGCUGCCAUGAGGAAUGUUAUGGCUGGGACAGAAUUUUGGAUAGCUGAUGCGAAAGUGGGGGAUGUGUGGUCUAAACCCAACAAGUAAAAUCCUUGAUUGGCCGUAAUCCUGUCAUUUAACAAACAAUCAAGUAAAUAAGUGUGAUUCCGAACCAAACUAAUCAAACACUAUCAGUACUGCCCAUGAGCACAUCAUAGAAAAACCAUUUAUUAAUAUACCCAACAACGGCCAGGAGAAAGAAUUGGACAAGAAACGAGAGAGAGAUUGGUGGCCGCUCUUUCCUGUCAAGACAACAUAACGAAGAAUUAGUGAGUAUCUAUGAGUUAAAUCAUGUUUAAACCAUGCACAUUCAACAAAACAGGACUAUUUCAGGUAAUGUGGGAUUUACGUACUUUUCGAGAAAAUAAGCGAAGGGCAAGAGGAGAAGCAACGCAAGAAUGUUCCGAUAUACAGGGAAAACAAUCUUGCUGAUGCCCAUGUUGAGUGCAGCUCUGGAGACAACAUGAAACCCUGCAUAACCAAACUGCAGAGCCAGCAUUGCCACAUGCAGCUGCAGCUUUUCGGGUAUGGAGCAACCCAUUAUACUCAAACUCCUGGAAGCUGCUGAGCCACUGUUAUCUCCCAUCUUUGCUCAACUCAGAUGAAACACUCUUAACACAAGUGGUGAGGAUCAAAGGCAAGAACUGAGGUCAUAUAAAUAUAACAACUUAGGAAGAUGGUAGGGUCUGAUUCUAUGGUAUGGCCCACAGUAAAAAUAAUCGCAAUAGUUUGGUUGCUAAAUAAUAAAAUGUGUGAGGUAUAGUGUUGGACUGGAAAUCCUAAUGUUUUUGCCUGUCUCCCACAUUCUCCCUGGCCAGACCUUCCUCAUAAGUACUUAUUGCACUGGCGAAUCCGUUUUCUAAAUUCGGAUUUAUUUUAAUUUUUAUAAUUUCAGAUUUUAUUUAAAUGAUAAGCACUCGUUAGUUUUGGUCGAGUUUCAUAUGGAGAUAUAUCAUACUUCACAUGCAUGUUAAAAAUAAUCACAGACGGAGACUAUGAUUUAAGGUCUAUAAUUUUAUAAAUACAUGUUUGUUAAGAUUUAUUAUGAUGCUUAUUAAUUACCAAAGAAAAAGGGACGAUAAAAAUCUGCAUUCGAGUAAAAGGUUAUAUAGGCUUUUCGAAAGCAUGCCAGAAGAAAUGAUGAUGGUAAUUAAUUGAGUGGACAGAUAUAUUAAGCUUGUCACUGAUAGAAAAAACGCACGAAGGGAAGGUGCGUCAAGAAACCAUGCGUUCUCAAACCCCACCAGAGCAGGGAUGUUCAUUUUUAACCGCCUCACAGAUAUCGAUUUCCAUCAGUCCUGAUCAUAGUAAAUAAUUAACAAGUUGAUCGAAUGAGCUAAACAAAAAUGAUAUAUGCCUUGUAAAACUCAGAUAAAAAAUGAAUACAGAUAAGAAAAAAGCUGGGAUAAAAAAUGAAAAUAGAACUUAAAUAUUAUAAAUUGUAAAUAUUCACAAAUAGUAUGAAUUUGGAAUCUUUAGUGGUUGAAAAAUUGUAUACGAAAAUAUAUACUAAAUAGACAAUAUAAUAAUCAAAAGAAAGAAAGAAAGUUGUAUUAUUAUUUGUGAGAUAUUAUUGAUUAAUAUCAAAAUAUAUGAUUUUGUCAAUUGUGUACAAUAAGGUGAAUAUGGAUAUUUUCAAUAUAAAAAUCAUCAAUUAUGAAAUCCGUUAUGCAUCCCACAUGAAUCAUAAAUGUUAGCGACCCGAUUUCAUCCGACCACAACAAUUUUUCCCUUCUUAUCAAAUUAAAAAUCUUUUAUUAAUUUUGUUGUAAGCCUUUUACUUUAAAAAAUUAUGCACAAAAGACAAAUUAAGACAAUUUUUUUUAGUUAUUCUUGAAAUUUAUACAACCAAGUGUAGGUUUGCAACUUUGUAUCCUGGAGAGCAAUAAGAGGCACUACAGGAAAACAGGUCAAAACCGACCGCACAAAACCGACCGCCGCAUAUAAAACCGACCGACGGUCGCGUGGUCGGUUUUAACCCGUCGAAAUCACAAAACGACGUCGACCUGGGUGACGUGGCAACAAAUAAAACCGACCGUCGGCAACGGUCGGUUAUAUGUAUGACAUGGCACUAUUAUAACCGACCGUUCUCUGUGGUCGGUUUUGUUUUACGCGGAAAAAUAAUUAAAAAUCAAUUUAAAUAAAAAUAUCUGUGCGUCAGCCCCUCAAAACGACGUCGUUUUUUUGUUUGGUACUAAAACCGACCGAUUGGUCGGUCGGUUUUAACCUGCAGCUUUUAUAUCACUUUUUNUAAAACGACGUCGUUUUUUUUGUUUGGUACUAAAACCGACCGAUUGGUCGGUCGGUUUUAACCUGCAGCUUUUAUAUCACUUUUUAGCUAGUAGUGAGCUCACAUUCACUUGAAAUAAAAAUCAAAGGAGAAGAAAGGAGCUAAAGUGGGGAAGAAUUAUUGCUUGCAAACAUUUCAAGUAAGUGAUUUUCAUUUAUUUGCAUUAAAUGUGUGUGUGGUGGGUGUGUUAAAUGUGUUUGUUAUAUUAAAUGUGUGUGUAUGUAAUUACAUUGAAUGCUUGUAUUGCAUUAAAUGUAUGAAAUUCAUGUGAAAUUAUUUGUUAAAUGUAUGUGUGUAUUGAAUGUAUGUGUGUAUUGAAUGUAUGUGUUAUUAAAUGUAUGUGUGUGUUAAAUGUGUGUGUAGAUGACAAACUUGGAUCGAAGUUGGAUUAGUAAUCAAGUGCAAAGUGAUAAAAUUUCGUUAACUCCGGAAUAUAGGAAUGGUGUAGAAACUUUUUUAAAAUUUGCAAGUGAAAAUGGAAUGGGAGAAGAUGGUACAAUGAAGUGUCCUUGUAAACGUUGUAGGAAUUUGAAUUGGUUAAGUAUCGAUGAUGUUAGAUUCCAUUUACUUGCUAAGGGGAUGCUUGAGGGUUAUACCGUUUGGACAUCACAUGGUGAAGAAAGAGGAAGAAAACGUAGUCGAACAUCGCAUAAUCGUUAUUGUGUUCGGGAACCUACGAGGGUAGAACAACCGGUAGAUUUGAAUGCGAUGCUACAUGAUUUUGCCGGUGAAAAUUCCGAAUUUUAUAACAACGUGGAUACGGGAACUAGGAAUGUAGAAGAAGUUCCAAAUGAUAGUGCAAGAAAAUUGUAUGAGGUGAUUGUUGAAAAUGGAGCACCUAUUUAUCCCGGUAAUACGAAGUAUACAAGAUUAAGCUUUACCACAAAAUUGUUAGAAUUCAAGAAUAUCUCACAUUGUAGUAAUAAGGCUUUUGAUAGUUUGCUUACACUUUUUGCGGAUGUAUUACCAAAAAAACACACGUUGCCCCAAACUUAUUAUGAAAUGAAGAAGAUAAUGAAGGGUUUGAGGGUUGAAUAUCAAAAGAUUGAUUUAUGUGAGAAUGAUUGUAUGUUAUUUUAUGGAGAUGACAAGGAUAAAGUUGUGUGUGAUAUAUGUGGUAAAGAUCGUUAUCGGGAUGUUUUGAGGAAAGAUGGUAAAAAAAUACCAAAAAAAAUAUUGAGACAUUUUCCUUUGAUUCCUCGACUACAACGCUUGUAUAUGUCAAAACAUACAUCCGACCAUAUGAGAUGGUACAAGAAUCGAGAUGUCAAAGAUGGAGAAAUUAGUCAUCCCGCGGACGGAGAAGAGUGGAAAAAUUUUGAUCGUCGAUAUCCAUCAUUUGCUCAAGAAAUUCGUAAUAUAAGGCUUGGCCUUGCAACCGACGGUUUCAACCCAUUUGGCCCUACCGGGAAAAAAACAUAUAGUGUGUGGCCCAUAGUAGUAGUUCAAAAUUGUUAGAAUUCAAGAAUAUCUCACAUUGUAGUAAUAAGGCUUUUGAUAGUUUGCUUACACUUUUUGCGGAUGUAUUACCAAAAAAACACACGUUGCCCCAAACUUAUUAUGAAAUGAAGAAGAUAAUGAAGGGUUUGAGGGUUGAAUAUCAAAAGAUUGAUUUAUGUGAGAAUGAUUGUAUGUUAUUUUAUGGAGAUGACAAGGAUAAAGUUGUGUGUGAUAUAUGUGGUAAAGAUCGUUAUCGGGAUGUUUUGAGGAAAGAUGGUAAAAAAAUACCAAAAAAAAUAUUGAGACAUUUUCCUUUGAUUCCUCGACUACAACGCUUGUAUAUGUCAAAACAUACAUCCGACCAUAUGAGAUGGUACAAGAAUCGAGAUGUCAAAGAUGGAGAAAUUAGUCAUCCCGCGGACGGAGAAGAGUGGAAAAAUUUUGAUCGUCGAUAUCCAUCAUUUGCUCAAGAAAUUCGUAAUAUAAGGCUUGGCCUUGCAACCGACGGUUUCAACCCAUUUGGCCCUACCGGGAAAAAAACAUAUAGUGUGUGGCCCAUAGUAGUAGUUGUCAACCCAGAUAAAAAGCACAAAACCGACCACUUAAGUCGGUCGGUUUUACUAGUCGCUUCUGACGUGGUGUGACACGUGUUGACACGUGGUGACAGGUGGCAUCAAGUGGGGCCACUUUUCUGGGAACAAAAAGGCACAUAACCGACCACACACUUGGUCGGUUUUAAGGGUUAAAGCCGACCAAUUCGCGUAACCGACCAGGGUUUAACCGACCAGCCAUAUCGAUUGGUUUUAGGCUUAUAACCGACCGAUAUUGUUCAUAACCGACCGAUUCUGGCGGUCGGUUUUGACCUGUUUUCCCGUAGUGAGGGACGGUAAUAGACUAUAUAUGAUAAUUUCGACGGACUUUCAAAAUUUAGUAGAUAAUUUAUUUUACAAAUCAUAAAUUUGGUUACAAAUUAACUUCUUUUCGAAAGUCUGCUAACCUAUAAUUUAAUUAUUUAUAAUUUUGCUGUAUAUUAUUUCAGAAUCAUUCCGCUCGUGAUUUUGUUUGUGAUCUGUCUAGGUUUUAUACCAGUCUACUGUCCGGGUUUUAUACCUGUCUAUUUCAUGGCCGUUGCAACACUACGUGACUUCUUUUCCCUUCUUUUAUGGAAAGCAACGAUAAAAGGUUCUGGUAGCCAAGCCUUUACUAAAAUUGUGGCCAUCUUUGAUAUUAAGGUUUUAUAUUUGAAAAGUGGUAAAAAGAAAACGUAGUGCACUAGUGCUGAAGUGGAUUUCCCCCUUUUUUUUUAAACAUUUUUAAAACUCAUGUCAUAUUCUAACAAAAAAAUGUCACUAGAACUAAAUAUGACAAUAUGUAUAAAUAUUAUUAUGAAUUUUAGCACUGUUAUAAGAAACAAUAAGCAAAAUUAAUUUACGAUACGGUCUUGUAAUAAUUUGUCGAACACUCAUGAUACAAAGAGCUCACCUAUAAAUCUAGUUACAGUUGCAAAAAAUAUCAUUAAGUCAGACAAAUGAUGGUUAAUUCAUAUCAGGCUCUUAAGAGGCCUGAUUAAUGAAAUGUUUAAUCACUAAUCAUGAUUCCCACUACCAAAGAUGUAUCAAGUGUGGAAUUGAUGUGGCCUGAUUUAUAUAUCUUCUCUUUUGGAGACACACUGACCCCCAUCUUUGGAGACCACCAUUAUAUUUCGUAAUUUAUUUUUACUUUUGGUACAAAAAAUAAGCAGAAAAAGAAGUAAAGGGACUGCAGAGAAUACUAUUUAAUUUAACUUUAAUUAGAUUCCUUGUCAUUAUUAUUAUGGAAAUACUGUUUGGCUUCGUCUUUUACAGCCAUGCCUGAUGAACAUAACCUAACAGUAAUUAUAAUUAAAAUUAUUACUUUUUCUGAAAAGAUAAUUAUUAAAAAGAAAAGAGAAAUGAGAGGACUAUAAACUGACCCGGCCUGCAUGACCCGGUCGGGUAAAACACUAGUGCAAAGGGGGCAGGGCAUAUAUAUGUGCCUGACAGCUAGAGAUAUUGGACUUUUAUCUGCACGAGCGAAUCUUCUUGCUAUGGCCCAGCCCAUCUUAUCAGUUGACUCCUUGACCCACUAUUGUACCCUCGAUUCAUUUAGGGUCGAUCGCGGUCCGGUUUGGUUCGGAUUGGAGAUAGAAUCGGAACCAAACCGUACAUUAUCGGUUUUUUAAAAUGUCAAACCAACCUGUGAACUGCAAACCAAUUAACCCGGACUAUGCGGUGCGGUUUUUGAUGGUUCAGUUAAGCGGAUUGAUCGGUUUAUGACUAAGGCUUAUAGUCAGAGAUGAGGGUAUGAAUAAUACUAGAAAUAACGUAUCAUUUUGUCUACAUUUGCACAAUUUUACAUAGUUAAAUUAAAAUACAAACUUUAGUCUAAUAAAAUGCAUAAACUUGAAUCGAAGUCGUGGAUCAAUGAAUUGAUAUGACUUGUAGUUUGUAUUGAUAAGGUAACUAACUAAACAACAACCUCAGCAAGUAUAAACUAAAAAGGUAAUAUAUUUAUAUAAAAUUAAUAUAUAUAUAUAUAUAUAAUAUUAAAUAUUUAUAUUGUAUAUAUAUAAAUAUGCGGUUCGGUUUAUAACGAGUUGGUUUAAUAUAAAACCAAAAUCAACCCAUAAAUCACGGUUUUUUAAAUUAGUCGAACCGAAACCGUAAACCUUAUUUCGGUUUUGGUUUGGAUCGGAUUAAUAUCGGAUUGGUUUAUGCGGAUUUUGCAGUUUAAACCAGACCGUCAUCACCCCUAAUGUCAUGUAUAAUUUCGUAAAAUCUGUAAAGUACUCGUAGAAAUUGCAACAGUUAAGAUCGUUGAGCUAAAUUCAGGUAGGUGCGAUCAUUUAGACGAGUUGAGUUAAUUUUAAUUUAAUUUUAUAAAUGAAUACUUGAAAUUUUUGGUCGAAAGAAAAAGAUAUUUGAGAAAGCCAUUUUAAUAAUAAAAUACCAAUAUUUUUCUGAGAUGAAUUGAAGUUGAGCCGAGAUUGAAUUAAUUAAGAUAUUUACCGGUACAAUUCAAAACAAUAAAUAGAUAUUUACUAGUAAUGCAUAGUACAUUUUUUAUUCAGGCAAAUCUAGUCCUCUCCCUCCUGUUUUAUACAAAUUAAUUUUAUUUUAAUUUCCGGAAGUACAAAACGUUUGAUCUCUAUCAUCCUUCUAAAAUUAUUACAAUCAUGUAGUAUGUAUUUUUACACCUUUUCANCUUCUAAAAUUAUUACAAUCAUGUAGUAUGUAUUUUUACACCUUUUCCCCCUCCGUUUUUUUUUUUUUAAAGGAAUCAAUGCCAUAAUUAAAAACUAGCCAUACUACAUGUACAAAUAUGAUAGAAAUUGGACAGACGCCGAAGAAUAUCGCUAGUGAAUCCUUCAUUUUUGGAGAAACAGCUAAGCGAUUUGAAUGGUUUGAAUAUAUGCACUUAUUUUCACCUGAUUGAUUUUUACUUUGACUGUUUUGAACGAUCGAUCAUAAAUGUAAUCCUAUAAUAACUUCAAACCUGAAUCAUACCCGUAAAAAUCAUGCGGAUUUAUAACCUUGGUCACUAAGAAUAUUAAAACACACCAAAACGAAAACCAACUCUCACAAGGAGAGACUAAUAAAAACCAAAUAAAUUGAAAACUUGUUAAAAGGAAAAUAAGAUUCCAAAUAAGAAAACGAAAUAAGAAAUUCAUAAACAAGAUAAAGAUUUUAUUAAAAUAAAACAUAUCAUUCUGAAAUACAUUCAUAUCAUAAAAUGUAUUUGAGAAUAAUGUUUUUUCAGAAAAAAUAAUAAUUUAAGGACUGUGGAAGUUUUAUAACUAAAAAUGAUAGUCUAAAAUAGCUAUACUAAGAAGAUGAUAAUAUAAUUAAAUAAAAAAAUUAUAAUUAUAACAAAUUAAAAAUUUUAUAAGAUUAUUCAAACCCUUAUCUGACACGGUCAUAAUUCAUAAACUUAAUCUAAAGUUAGAAUCUCUGGUAAAACAAUCCCAGCUAAGCAUGCGCCAUGCGGUACUAAAAGUUGUCAAUAUUCCAGAACUCUGCUCUAUGUCUUUUCCAUUUUUCUUAUAAUCUUCGUUUUCAUAAUUGUUGUUCUGUCAUAUUCGAUCAAUAUUCACUCCUACGUAUUUUCUUUAUCCAGUAUUAAAUAUUUAAUUCCGUUAUCAUCCGUUCCUUUGGAUCAAGUGAUCACAAGAUCUCUAUAUCGAAACAAGGACAUAUAUAAUACAUGACGCGCUCUUGGUGACCUAACUGUGAAUUAUGGACUUCUCACUUGUCAUGAAUUAUUUACAUAUAUAUAAUAGUGCAAUCUAUCAAUCAUUGUAUUGAUCAGUCGCUUUGCACACAGAAACGGACGAUCAAUGUAAACACACUCACAAGAUUAGCAAUGAAAAAGGAACAAGGAGUAGAAACAAAGAAACCCAGCAAGGAAAGCUGUAGAGACAUGAAUAGAGAUGGUUAGUAGAGAAUGCGGGUAAAAUCGUUAUUGCUUCGUUUGGUAGAUGAAGAGCUCUCUGUUGUCUCUUUUUUGGCCAGACAGAUGCUGUUCUCGUCAAUUUCAUGCCGUUGAGAAGUCGCCAACAUUCUUUCAUCAGUUGGAUAUUAUUAUACAUCUAUACUAUAAUAUAAUAAGUCAACAUAGGUUUAAUUUGUAGUCGUACAAAAUUUUGGUUUGUUCAUCUAAAUACAAGUCGGUCACAUGUAGACUUCUCUUACUCUUACAAUAUUAAAGAGUUUUAUACCGUUCAAAUUACAAACACUUGUGAUGUAAUACAAGAUUAAAAAAACUCUACCAUUAUUCUUUUAAAUAUAAUUUAUAUAUUAUUUAUAUACUAUAUUAUAAUUAUAAUAAACCGAUAUUGAUAUAAUUCGCAGUCGUCCAAAAAAUGUAAUUAGUUGGUAAAUAUAAUCUGGUUAAAAUCUAAUUCAUUAAUACUAAAAUACUAAUAAGAUGAUGUUAAAAUUUAAAUUAUAAUUAAUAAAUUACGAAUUCUACACUCGCCCGUGCUUCGCACGGGUUAAAGGCUAGUAUAAUAUAUAUACGCACACAUUAUUAACACCAAGUUUUUUGUGCUGACGAAGGGAGAUGCCUAAAAAAUAAAUUUUCAGGAGUACAUCCUUGAGCAGAGAAUUAAUUUAAUAAUAAAAAGUCAUACAACAUCUAAAAAACAACCGCGUCGAACAAAAAUAAAACGGUAACAAUUGUUAAUUAAUCCAUUCUUUCUGAAAUCACGCGAUUUGUUGAAGAUGUGAUAUUUACAAGUACCUCUUCUACCAUAAUUACAGCCUCAAAAUCAUACUCUCACAAACAAAGAAGUGAAAUAAACAAAACUCUCAUACACACAGCCUAACUCUCACCAAGAAGAGGUUACACCAAACCAAAAUAAUAAAUAAAGAUAAAUAAAUCUUAAAUCUGGAGCGAAAUCAUAAAAAUAAGAGAAAUCGGACUAAAAAUCCACCCGCUUGAAACAUGAAAGAAAAGACAGCGAAAUCCCCGAUUAUUUUAGAUCUAAGAAUUUUUUCGAGAACAGAUCUGGAGCGGAACCACAAAAAUAAGAGAAAUCGGAUUGAAAUACCACCCGCUUGGAAGAAAGACGGUGAAAAUACUUUUAAAAUUCGGAACCACACAUUUUAAAUUCAGAAAAUAUAUGUUUGCGUUGAUAUAUAAAGGAACAAACAAAAAUUCAGAGAAUAUAUAGACAUAAGAAAUUUAUUAGAGACACACAUUUUAAAUUUUUUCGUAAAAAUACUCUUAAAAUCAUAAAUUACUAUUUUGGUUGGUACGAUAAAAUACUAUCGAUGUCAAUUCUUAUUCUUUCUCUCUCCUUUUUUUUCGAAUAAAUUCUUAUUCUUUUCUUGAUAUUAUUGUUGGGCAGAAAAGUUUUUUUCCCUCGAAAUUUUGGAUAUAUUAGGAUCGGCGCUGCAUAUGUGGGGGGCUUUAGAGCAGCUCCAAUGUUGGGCUGCCCAACUUAUCUUUUUCUGGGGUCCGCAUGUGCCACGUCAAACUGGGUUGGCCAAACGAAACAAAUGGCCAACUUACUCCAAUGCUAUGCCCGCUUUCUUUAAUGUGUAGGACACAAUCAUCAUUUAGAUCAACAAAAUUUGUGUUGCCAAAGGCAGGCACUUGUGAAUCUGGAGAAUUUUGGGUAUUAUUAGGCGGUUGUUGGGUUUCAAAUUGUGAAUUUGAAUAUGGAGGAAAAGGAAAAUGAUGUGGAGAAUUUUGUGAAUAUGAAAAUGGAAAUUGUGAAUUUUGAGGAUAUGGAAAUUGAUAUUGAGAAUUAGUAGGUGGAGAAUUAAAAUUUUGAGGGUUUGUAAAAUAUGGAUUUGGAUAUGGAUAUGGAAAUGGAAUUUGAGGAUUUGGAUUUUGAGAAUUUGGAGGUGUAGGUUUAUUCGGAUUUAUUUUUUGGUAGAGAAAAAACUAAAUUUCUUAAGAAGAUGAAAGUAUGAAAAAUGGGAUAUGAAAAUAUAAGAUAUAUAUAAGAACAAAAUAUAGCCGUUAAAUUAUAUAACCGUUGAUUGUUUACGUUAUUAGUUAAACGGUCAUAUUACUGUAAUGUAUGCAUGCCAAGUUAUAAAACAAAAGAUAACAAACAAAAUAUAAACAACAAAAGUAAAAAGUAAAACAAGGCAAAAAGACAUUAAAUUGUAAUAAACAAUUGAAGUGGCCACUGCCCGGGAAAGUGGGCAUACCCAUUUCAUUUCUAUUCCUCCAACGUGCAUCUUAUGUGCCCAUGUCAGUUUGCGUGGCCCAAUGAGGAGUUGGGCACUCCACUGGGGCUGCUCUUAGUCCGCACCAGUGGCUGCGUAGUUCCGCUAUUGCAUUCAAUCACUACAUCUUGGCUAGGGCAUGCAUGCUUUUAAUAUCGAGAUAUUCAUGAUUUUAUCUUUCGUUGUAUAUUCAGUUAAUACAAAAGUCGAUUAAACCAUUAAUGCGAAAUCGUCGAAGUUGGAAAAGGACACCCGUCAUUUCAUGACAGUCGUUAGUUCAGUUGGUUAUCUAGUUUCGUCCAUGCUUCAAAUAGACAUGAAGAUCAAGCAAAAUAUUUAUCCUGAAAUCCAAAAUGAUAGCAAAUAUAGCAGAAAGUCCAAUUUUAGUAAUACAGUAAUAUAGUGUCACUAAAAAAUUAAUGUGAGAUGAUAAAUUCUAAAAUGAGUUAAUUUUUCCUUGACAGACCUGUAUGUCUUCGUUCAUAUUAAGGCUAUCUACUAAAAAACGGCUCCAGACUUGUUUAAGUUAUUUGUAUUUGUUUUUCUGUUUUAUUUAACAAAGUCUAUAAGUAGGGACUGCCGUGGAGCAAAAGAUGAGGCUCAUAAAAGCAGCACGGUAGUGAAUGAAAAGACAUCACUUCUGUUGAUCUACAGAAGAGUUAACUCCAACUUGCGACUAAAUGAAACUAAAAUAUGAAAAGACGCGAAAUUAUAACUAUUAAUUUUAACAGACAAAGCCAAUUUUUUGCUUUGGGAAGAUCCUCUUAGCCCUAUAUGCUAUUUUGUCGCUUCUACUCAGAGAGUUUCUGUUUUGUAGUAUUAUCUUAUCACGUUUUAACAGCUACUGCAAUCUGCAAACACACAAAGCACUAACACCUGCUUUCUGUUUUGCUCAAGUGACAGGCAAUUAUAGAACUUUGAAUACAAAAAAUUAACUAAAUUAAGUUAAAUCUUCUGAGUUUUUUCAGUUCAGUCGGAUCCUCUUGUUCUGAUGAACACACGAACUCAGUCAUCAGUUCUCGUAAAACCUUGAUUUUUUCUAGUGAUACGAACAUAAAUUAAAAAGACCCCAACCUGGCCUGAAAUUUUAUAUAUCAAUAAAUUAUAAAAUAUUAUUUUCGGAUUUCUUAAAAAUGUUUACGGUUUGUGAAAGAAGAAUCUAAAUGAUUUUUGGCCAAAAACAGUAAAGAAAACAAAUAUGAUUCACCUGAUUAUAUUGUUAGCUUUACAUAAUGACUAGCCUGCAGAUAAGUAAGAUAAUAACUGAUCUCUUCAACAUCCAAAUGAGUUACUAUGAUCUUUCUGUCACCUUUGAUCAGCAAAGUAUCAGACUAUCAAUACAUGUAAACAUGCGAGUGUCAUCAAUAUUACUGCAACUUAUUUGUGUCCCGACUCCAGACUGCAUGAUUCUUUACCUUCUUCCUUUUUCAGUUGCCUUUUCCUUUUAUAUGUUAAUGUUUGAACAAACCAAAUACUGUUUAUUUUCAACUUUAAAGAAAUACAGUGAUCGAUCACAUCGGCUCGCGUGCUUUGCCAAUAUGAGGAUUCACAUACAAAGUUCAUAUAUCCAGAUUCCAGAGGCUAACACUUAAAAAAAGGCAAAUCAAGAUGAACCAGACAUGCAUUUAGGCUCCCUGGAAAGUACUCCAAAUUUCAGAAUUUCUAUUAAAAUAUCCGGGACUUAUACAAGCCUUUGGGACUUAGAGCAAGUCUAUCUGUCCUAAUAAGUACUAUAUAAAUAUAUUAAAAAAUAAUGUUCUAGUGAUUUAGAACUACUAUCUUGGUUUAUGAAUUCCAAUAAUAUGUCUUCUAAUUGUGCCUUAAUAUUAUAAUAAUAAAAUAUUUGGAAUACUAUUGGUGAGACGGGAAAAUAUGAGAGGAGAGAUUUUUUGAAAUGGAGGGAAACUAAUUUUUUAUUGAUAAAAAUGGUUUAGGCCAUGCAUAGUGGUGCCUUACAAAUAAGCCACUUGUUGAUGAAUGUCCGAUUGUUUUAAGGCAUAAGUAGAAUAUUAUUGGAUCACUAAUUUGUUUUAAAUAUGAAAAAAGAAGAAAAAGGAUUGAGUAACCAAUACAAACAUGAUUAGCUAAUCCCCAACCUAGUUCAAAUGCUCUAUGAGAAUGUGAUGGAUGUUACCCAAGGUUUGGACCAAUUCUAUCCCUUGAAGAAUACAAUCUUUCGCAAUCUAUCUUCUUCAUUUGUUGAGCACCCACUCCAGAGAUUCCACAUCCACAGUAGGGAAAUUGUCCCCCAUUAGCACUUGCGCAAAAUGCACUAAUGUGAGAAAAGGGUUCUAAAUUAAGAUAACCUGGGCCAGUUACUUGGCAACAUUCAGGUCCAGUAGGUGAAAUGCUCCAUGACUCAUUUCAGCAGGCACUAUAUAGUGCACAAUUCCGGACCUAAAAUCAGCCAAAUAAGAACAACGAAUAUUCCUUUCAGGGUUAUUACAGGAUUCUCGUGUGCAUUCAAUGUGCCAUGAUGAUAUGGCACAAUUAUUUGCUAAGCAAAGUAUACACAACAUGAUGUAAGACCAUAGCUCAAGUAGAUUGCAAUAAGACUAUUUGGAGAAACAAUGAUCCGUCUUAUCCAAGCUAAGCAUCCGAAUAAAGCCUACUCCAAAUAUUUCUUAUAUAUCUUGUCUAGAUCUGGAGAAAAUAUACAAAGUAUUUGGUAACAUCAUAGCACAAAAACACUCACAUCAAAUACAAAAAAUAAUUUCCAGUCAGAAUUGCCAAAGCCUAAUCACUGUAAUUAAGAGGAUAACCAAGUUUGGUUUAGCAUAUAUGAAAGGAUCGACGCAAAGUUAACUAUAUAAAUGUUCAUAACAUAACCAUCUCUCUCAUGUAUCUUUCUUUCAUCACAUAAACAGGUUCAGAUUAGGCAAACUUAACAUGUAAAUGUUAACAACAUAAAAAUGUUGGUUUAAUAGCAAAAACUGUUUUGGAUGGGCAAAGUUGACAUAUUUAAACGUAAACAAAAUUACCAGGUGUCCCUUUUAUCUUGGUUUCAUCAUAUAAAUUAAAGCUCAUAAUAUCAAUACAGUCGCGAGACAGCCCGAGGCGGAAGGAAAAAUACAAGCUUCUCUUAUUUAUUACCUGUGUCUACUAUUUAGGCAGAAUCCCGUCACCCACUUUUACUAAGAAAUUGAAUCCACAAACGGAAAGGAUUUAAUGCAGAUUUUGACGGGGAUCAAAUAGCUGUUCAUGUACCUUUAUCUUUUGAGGCUCGAGCGGAAGCACGUUUACUUAUGUUUUCUCAUAUUAACCUUUUAUCUCCGGCGAGAAUAUUUACAAUGAGUAAAUUACCAUAUCUUCGCACAUAUACCUUGGUUCGAUUUGCACAAACACUAAAUAAAAAUCACUAAAAAUUAUUUACAGUACAAUCCAACCCUUGAUAACUAUUUUUUCUUCUGCUUAUCAAUGGCGCCAUUGAUAACUAAUUUUAGUAAAGCAUAAACAUCUCCUUCAGAAAUUCACAAGUACAUAAAUUUUCUAUUCAGCUCGUUAAUAUCUCCUUCAGAAAUUGCUGCAGAGAUAAAUAGCAAAUGCAUAAUCUUGAUUCAAUAGUUGAAGCAGUGCCGGAUGUUGAAGGGGUGCUCACAGGGCUUAGCAGCCCCGACUCCAAAAAAUUUGUCUUAUAAAAUAUAUGAUAUUCAAUCCCCCUUUUAAAAUUAGCCCACCUUAAAUUUCUUUUUCAGCAAUAUUAAUAUGUCAUUAGAGAUGAUAUAAAUUUGUUACAGAAAAGAAGCCCCCAUCAGUAGAUUUUCAGUACAACAAAAUCGGCUAAUUUCGAUCUUCAGAAGCUAUUUCGAUCAUAAACGGUCAAAAAAUAACUAAUUUUGACCACGAAAAAACGGUCAAAUAUAAACUAGUUGAAAUUAGGAAACCGCUCGAAGAUAAUUAUUUUCGACUGCAUUUUUCUAUCUUUGACCGGACAAUUUCGACUAAAAACGGUCGAAAUUAGCCUGGUGAUCGGAAGUCCCCCCUCCCAAAUUUAUUUUCAACCGGAAGUUAUUUUCGACUAAAACCAUGGAGGGAAAAAGCUAGAGUGAGAGGUCGAAUUUUUGCGGUCGAAAAUAAAUUUAUUUUCGACCAGGUAACUUCAACCGGCUUUAUUUUCGACCUUAUGUGGUCGUUUUUAUUAUUUUCAACCGGAUAUAUUCGACCACAUUUAUUUUUGAUCGUUUACGGUCGAAAUUAGUUUACGGUCGAAAAAGACGGUCGAAAUUAGCUGCUUUUCCACCACUGAGUUGGGCUUAUAUAUAAGGAAGUUAAACAUAAAAUUAGCAAGUCAUAGCCAAACAGGUGUUUAGUCAGAAUGUGCAUGAGAGAAUAUACCAUGGGCUGAUCAGUGAUCACUUGGAAGUUGGACUAGCUGCUUCAAGGUCCAAAAAGAUUGAAUUUCAAAAAGCUUAAACAUAAUAUCCUCCAUUUCACCAGGAUCUCAUCUAGUUCUCUUAUCUGGAGCUUUUAAUUGUGUUAGUUUCUUCUUAUCCAGAACAGAAUAAAACAGAACAAAGAAAGCUAUUUGUCCCAAGUUAAGAGCAAACAUUGAGUAGAUUAAUCUGAAUGUAUUGACCUUAUUGACAUAAACACCUGCUACUGCAUAAAUCAUUUUGCAAUAAUCUAAAAAUACAAGGAAAUGAACUUUCUUCUUUAUUUAAAAUGACAUGUACAGAAACUAUGACCCAAUCAUAAUUGAUCAGCCACUUCCAAGAUUUAAGAUUGAGAAGGGGUAAGAAAGGAAGCCAUUUAUCUCUGUUCUUUAAUAACUGUCCACAGUAAGGAAUACUUAACUGUUUCUUAAUUAGUCUAAACCUUAAAAAGAAUAUGCUUAUGAUCAGGGAAUAGAUGGAGUUGGUGAUUAACAAAUUAAAGCGCAAUCAAAUAUGUAAAGAGGGAUAACUAAGUUCUGUAAAGAGGAAUAACCAAAUUCAGUAAAGCCUAAACAGAUUCAAAUGAGGCAAAGUUAACCUAUAUAAAUGUUGAUAACAUUGCGAAUCAAGAUAACAAAUACAGAAAACAAUUUACAGUUCGUUAUAUUAUCCUGUGUUCAUUUGUCUAGGUUGCAUUGCACAAACACUAAGCACCAAAUUCUGAAAAAUUUUAACAGUUCAAUCUACGAAUGAAUCACCAUCACUGUAAAGCGGAACAACUAACCUUAAUGAAGCAUAAACUGGUUCACAUAAGUCAAAGUGAAAGUACAUAAACGCCAAAGAUAUUACAAUGAAUCCAAUAUAUCAUGGUUACAUUAUUUGUAGCCACGGCAACUUGAUGAGACCAUAAGUUGAAAAGAGAAGACUUAUAAGAGAAUUGGCGAUACAAUCAAACUGAUUGUGUACGGAUAUACUUUUACCUUUACACUAUCAGCGAGUUAUAGGCUACUGUCGUAGCUGCCACAAAUUAGGUAUUACACUUGAAACUCUUCUGCUAUGUGUAAUUAAAAUUAAUACCGAUUUUAAAGCGCAAACAAGUUAAUCGGAUAAGCAGAACAAAGAUCAUGAGUCUAGUAAAAUGUGACAUUAUCCAUCUGUAGCUGCAUUGUAGUGAUGAUUGCUUUUAUUUCGCAGCUGCUUAGUUUUUGAAAUUUAGAAAAAACUCCUAGAAAUAUUUUUUGAAGUGCUGCGAAAUAGUCGAAUGCCAAGGAUCAACAGAUAUUCCUGGUCUUUAAUCAAAAACCAUAAACAUCAAACAAUCUCAAAACACCCCAUCUCCAAGAACACGGCGAAGAUUGUGAUUACCGUCUUUCAACUCUUUAACUUCAUCCUUCAACAUAUCAGCUACAGCUUGAACUUCCAAGUCCAAAUUCUAUUUCUUCAGUUCCCUGUUCUUCACCAUCAAAUCCUCCAACAUAUCAGUUUCAUCCUCCAAGUCCAGAUUCUUGCUAUCCAGUUCCUUGAUCUUCGCCUUGAAAUCAUUACUCAAGAUUUGCAACUCCGACAUGCUAGGCCUGGUUGGCUGGGGUUCGUCUGCAACAUCAACAGUAGCAGGAGGAGGACAGAGCAGGUUGCCCCAUUCAUCAACAUUGGAGUCAUAUCUUUGUAUAAUUUUUGAAUUUCAUCUUCAGGUGUAUUCAAUUUAUAUUUUGAAAAAUAACACCUGUAUAUAGAUUUUAAAAUAUUAUGGUUAAUGUCAACUGUAUUACCUUGUAUUACCUGCAGCUGCGACAUACUGCAAAAUGAAAAACAAAUAAUUACUUUCGGGUAUACCUUCCUUUUGCUGAAUGUUAGCUUUGAGUUCAUCAAUCAUAUGAGAGCUGUUCACUUCAAGGGUGAUGGUCUUUCCAUCUAAGGGUCUUUAUAACGAUCUGCAUGUCAUCGCUAUUAGUCAUACAAGUCAAUGUUAGAGAAUCAACGUGUGCAGAAGAACAAUUGGAGCGGUAGGCUCUCAUACCAUGUCAAAAGAUAAAUGAUGUUUCUACAUGAUUGCAGUAUAUAUACACAUGAUGGCAUGCCCUUACUAGAGUGUAACAAAUUACUUCUUAGUAACCAAAGUCAAUGUUAAUCAUCGGUACUACUUACAAACAUCUGAUAAUCCAGGUACUCCUCUUGUUACUCAAGUGUUAACUGAUCAAAAUUACUUCAAGUGGAGUCGUUCUAUUUCUAUUGCUUUAUUUGCUAGAUGAAACUUGGUUUGCUUGAUGAAACCUUAUCAAAACCUGUUGUUAGCUCUCCAUUAUUUAUUGUUUGGUCUCGAUGUAAAUUUGAAAUGAUAUGGUAUUGUCCUGGUUGUUGAACUCUAUGAGUGUUGAAAUUCGAAACAUUGUUGCUUAAUAUUUUUCCACCGAGGAAAUUUGGGAUGAUUUGGCUAUAUGAUUCUCUCAGUCUAAUAUGCCUAGAAUAUUUCAGUUGUGAAAGAAAAUGAGGGCUAUUAGUCAAGAAUCUCUAUCAAUCACUGCUUAUUUUACAAAAUUCUGCACUCUUAUUGCUGAAAUUGACACCUUUAUGUUGAUGCCUAAGUGCACAUGUCUUAGUAGCAACUGUACUUUUUCUAAAGUUUAAAAGCUUGAGCAUAUGAAAAUAUGAUAAAACUGAGUCAAUUCAUCAUGGGAAUCAAUGAGCAAUAUACUACCGUAAGAGGUCAACUAUAUAUUGCUGCUCAAUCCUUAAAUCUCUGACUCUGAGUCAGGCAUUCUCUUUGUUGUUACAAGAAGAGUCUAAGAGAGUUUUUUCAAAAUUAGCCAAUACUCCUUUCACUAACAGUAUGGCUAUGAAUGUUAAGCAUAACAAUCUCACUAAAUUCAAGAAUUCAAAUUCUACCGUGACUGUACAUGGCAAACCCAAGACUGAGAUUCAAUUAAUUAAUCCUGUGAUUACCGUCACAAUGCUGGUCAUAUAAGAGACAAGUGUUUUUUCCUUCAUGACUAUCCUGAAUGCCAUACGUUGCAUCGCAAACCCAAGACAAAGCGAAGAAAAUUUAUAAACUCUGUCAGCAAUCCUGUGUAAUCAGCAGCUCAGAUUUUUACAACUGUCAAUUCUUCUCCUGUAGUGUAAUUAAAACUCUGUCAGAUUUUAUAUUAAUUUAUCAAACAACUAACAACAUAACUCAACUACCUCUACUAGACCUAUAAAAACUUCAGGUCUUCGACUAGCGUUAAUAUAAAAUUUAUUUAAUACAUUUCUAUAACAAUUAUAAAUUUAAAAGAUUAAAAUUUUACUUUACUGACCCUAUAAAAAAAUCAUAAAAAACAUAAUAAAAUCAAUGUACAAAAUUCUUAUCAUAUUUUAGAAUUCAAAUAAAUAAGUCCAUCUCGAUAUUAUUGGAGAAUAAAAGAACAAUAUUAGUAUAUUAUCAUGGCGACUAAGAAUUAAAGCUGCAAACUGGACCACGAUAUACAGUACAAAUGCACCUAUUUAUUAAUACGAUCGCCAAAACAGCGUGCAUGCACUGGUAAAUUAACAAGGUCGACGUUAGAACUGAGCAGAAGAUGAAUUAUCAUUAUAGAUAUAUAGAUACUGUAGCUAUGCGGCUAUGCCCACUUCUCUGCAUGUCUUGAUAAACCAUUCAUCAAUCAUCACCCUUUGAAUUAUAUUAAUGUAUAUUGUGCGUAUAAGUUACGUUUAUUUUGGUAACUUGAUAGUGAUAUACGCACUGAGAUUGAGGGCAUGGGUGCUUGUAUAUCGAUAAAAUUGCCUGCUUCAAAUUCUAAAUGACCGGAUAUACAGUGUCACCCAAUUAAGCAAUGACUUGAUGCUCCCAAAAUUUAGAGGCCCUAAAAUUUAAUAAUCAUCGAUAUCAAUAUACUUAUACAAAGGGGAAGCGAGGGGCGUGUAUGCGGCGCCUCUCACAUCCCUCCGUUCUAUUUUUCUAAUUUUCUGGAAUUUAAGGAUGAAAAAUAUCAAAAAUUAGAACUACUUUUUUUAGUUUUGGGUAUAUUAGAAGCAAGUUUCAGAGUCUGAUUUUGUUUCAGAUUAUUUAUGGAAUAUAGAAGCUUGAAAAUUUUAAUCUGAUUUUGUUUCAGAUUAUUUAAUUAUGGGAAAGAGUAGCACACAAGUCUCUCUGCACCUAUAAAUACCUCUAUAGAUUGUACCUCUGUAGAUGGUAGGAUUUUUGAUCAUCUAAACACAACCUCCUCUCUCUCAAUACUACAACCCUACCUCUAUCUGGUGAUACUUCUCUUGCUCGAUUUCUAACUCGGUUCGACAACGAUAAAUGAAGGCUAUUUAUACAGUAUUAAAAAAAUAAAGGUUGUUGCAAGUAAAUGUAGUUAUAAACCGCUACAGGGGAGUCGAAUAGAGUCUUGACAUGAUGUUGAUGAAUGAUAUCAAUAAAUUAACUAUUAGUGAUGUAUGUUUGUUGGUUAUUAUUUAUAAUAUUUGUUUUGUUCAUCGGACAUGUUUGUUGUUGCUAAUUUUUAUAUGAUUAUAUGAUUUACUUUGUAUACGAGAAAAAAUUAUUUAUGCAUUAUCUGUUUGCUCCGUUAAGCAACUUUUUUGUGCACAAUCAAUCCAAAAAAAUUGGAGGAAGGUGACAAUGUAAGAACAUGAUUACUUUUCAAAAAAAAAACACAAAUAAAAUUAAGAUUCGUCGUACUUUAAAUUGUUAAUUACGUGUAUAAAUUUAAUUUCAUAUUUUCACCAUGAAUUAUAGUCCAGUUUUGCAAUUUUAUAUAUUACUAUUGGUAUUACAUCAAGAUUUUAAACACAAAUAAAAUUAAGAUUCGUCGUACUUUAAAUUGUUAAUUACGUGUAUAAAUUUAAUUUCAUAUUUUCACCAUGAAUUAUAGUCCAGUUUUGCAAUUUUAUAUAUUACUAUUGGUAUUACAUCAAGAUUUUAAUAAUAUAAAAUUAAUUUUAUCCUACAAAUAUUAAUUUUGAAUCAUUAAUAUAUUUUUUAUAGACAGCCACAAAAUUAUGUUAUUCUAUAAAUAUUAAUAUUAAAUCAUUAAUAUAAUUUUGAAUCAUUAAAACUUCGUGUUUUUAAGUAUCCGCGGAAAAUUAUAGCGGAUACUUAAAAAAACAGGUUUCAAUUCCCGCCUUUGAAAUACAGAUCUGAUAGUAAUGGAGUAGUGUUAUAGAUAAAAGUUGCAUGACAAUCACUUGUCAUGGACCAAAACCCAUAAUAUUUUAUGACAUUCCGUACCGUUCUCCCCUGAAUUAAACCCCUGAAGGCAGAUGUUAUUAACUUGUUCAUUUUUUGUUCGAACUAAGCAGAUACGCUACUGCUUUAAGUUAGUAGCAACAUGAAACAUGAUAUAUUAACUCUUGUUAUAUUAAUCAAACAUAAGAUAUAUUAAACCUAGUAGAUGACGAAGGCGCUAAAACAAGCCAGAAAGCUAGCUGGCCUGGCUUCUUAAACCUUUUUGUUCCCCUCAUACUGAAACUCUACCAUUCUAGAACCCAUGCAUACCAUCAAUUCCACAUAGCUUAAUUAAUUGUUUCGCCAUCUCUGGGACCUUGAAAACCCUAUAGACAGAUUGAGGAAUUCAUCAUUUUUCCUACGGACGCACCCUAUAUGAUCCGGUCAUCACAUGAUAAAACUCUUUGUAGAUCGGAACAUUAAAUUAAAACAGCUCAGCCUCUUCACUACAACGCUACUCCUGCUAUGCCUAACCAGGUCAUGUUUCAUGCAAGUACUAGAACCUCAUGGAUUACCUAAAACCACAUACUGUAACAGAACUACGUGAAAUUAAAUGUUAAUAAAUGAAGAAAAAUGCUUGGUGUAUAUAAUUAUGUACAAAACUUUGUGUACGUAAUGAUAUGUGGUGGGUUUUAAUUGAAGUGAGCCCACAUAAUUAUAUCAACCCCAAUUAAAAUCCAACACAUCAAUUGUCAUGUCAUUAUGUACAAAUUUUUCGUACACAAUUUUGAACACAUAACACUGCUCAUAAAUGAAUAUCUUUAGGACCGAAAAAUUUUAUGCAUUUAGGAACUAUAUUCAUUUUAAAGAUUAAAAAUAUACCUAUAUUGCUAUCUUCUUCAUCAGACAAAAGGGUUUACUUUCUCCCUAAAAUUAGAACUUACAGGGGUUAAGAAAAUAAAAGGCGAGAGCAUUAUUAAUUAAUAUCCGGCAGGGUGACGGGUAAACGGGGAAAAGCAACCUCGAGUUCAAAAACCGAACAAAAAGCGGAUUGAAAAUCAAAUCAAACCCAGAUAAAAUUGUUGAAUGAAGAAAAUGGAAAGGAGAAGCUAGUCUAGCUACUCACAUAAAUAUAUGAGCACAUUACCAUAUGUAGCAUAAAACACAUUCUUCGAAAAGCAAAAUAAAAAGAUCAUAAUGUUCAAGAAAUUAAUCUACACCAAAAAUUGUAAUUAUCUGGUUAUUUAAUGGAAUAGUUUACUACUAACAAAACAACAUCAUUGAUUAGCAAUUAUAACAAGAAUGUUUAAUCAAAGAUUUGUUAGAUUAAGAAAUAUAUAAAUCAACGACGGAAAUACGGAAUGUAAUGAAUAAUUAGGUGCUAUCGAUUUGUGCAUUUUUAAGGCCUGGGGGGUGGGAAGAACUGAGUANAAUUAGGUGCUAUCGAUUUGUGCAUUUUUAAGGCCUGGGGGGUGGGAAGAACUGAGUCCCCGCCAUGAAAGCAUUGAGAGGAGUUGGAUAAGUAGUCGACGAGUCAAGCCACGUCACUCCUGGUGGAUUAGUGGUAGUAGCGGCCGUGGUGACGAGAUUAAGGGAUUGUUGUGCUGCGCCACUGGUGGUAGAGUUUUCACCAGCCCCGACGUAACGGCUUUCGGGGCCUUGAUCGUAGAGAAGUCCCUUGAAGACAUGCCCUCCGAUGUUUACCGCUGCUUGAUACGCAUAUUGCUCCUGCGCAUCGUCCAUUGCUCUCACGUUUACGCAUCGAAACACGGCUGAUGACGUUAUUUCUGCUGGAAAUUGUCCCACUUCUAACCCUAGCCUCACACACAACAAAAAUGUUAGUCCCCAAAUAUAUUCAUCAAUCAGGCCGAAACAAAAAAUUUCAUCAAUAACAAUAAUUAUAUACCCGUCUAGAGGUCUAGGUUUUUAUUUUAACCAAACGAGCAGGUUUGAGUAUUUCAAAUUCAGGAAUCGACCUGUACUAAUAUAGUAAGUAGUUAUAACCUGAGUUGUGGUUUUACAAACGAGGACAAGUAUUUAAAUUUUAGUAAUCGACGUGUACUGGUAAACUAAGUAGUUAUGACCUGAAUUGUGGUUUAAGUAUUUAAAUUUCAGUAAUCAACCUAUACUGAUAAAGUAAAUAGUUAUGACCUGAAUUGUGGUUUUGCAAACGAGUGCAAGGGAGUGGAUUUUCUCUUGUCCGCUUCGAUUGAUGAGCUCCUCUCAUCAAACUGAACUGAUUCUGCUCUUGCGGCUCAUGAUCCUGUUGCGGCUGUUGCAAAGACGAAGAUAACUGCAAUUGCUGCUGCUUCUCGCGUCUCUUAGCUGCCGGAACCCAAGUGCUCUUGACAUGCGUCUGGCAAUGAAACCCUCGGCUCUUACAACAAGUCCUGCACCUCAUGUGCACACAAUCCUUCUUCGCUUGGUUUCCGCAAUCUUGACAAUUAACACUACUGCCCCCACCACCGAUCAUAUUAUUACUAUUAUUAUUAUUGUUUCCGAGAACUCCGGAUUGUCUCAUGUGAAGCCCAAAUCCUGAAGAAGAAGAUGAUCUGUAGAGAAACGUGUGAUCAUUAUCAUUGGUUCUUCUGGUUGAUGAGUAAUUAGAAGCUGAGCCACCAACUAGAGAGAGAUCCACAUCUUGGAGCUGAGUCUUUUGUUGUUGGUGAAGUUGGUAGUAUUGUUGCCAUAGCUCGAAACCCUUGUUGUAGAUCUCUUCGUUUUUGAACAAAAACAGGCUGUUCUCUUGGCUUGCUUGAUCUUGUUCUUGAUCUUUUCCUCCUAGUGUGAAGAAGCCUGACAUUUUCUACUGUUUGUGUACCCUAAUUUUGAGCACCACCCCAUGUAGAGAGAGAGUAUCACAUCUAACUAAGCUUCUAUGGUUUAUUAGGUGCUUGAUUUUUUAUAGUAUAAAGGGAGAGAGAUUGGUGGAUAUAGUGGAGGUGAGGGUUUGUGGUUAGGUUUGUCAAAGUUGAAUUCUGUGUGCAGUCUGUUUUGUGUAUUAAAUAAAGGCAUGUCCCCGCCGCCAUGGAUACUGGAGUCACUGCGACCUUCUCUCUCUUCCCCUCUCUCUAGGUUUAUUAUUAUAUACACGAACCCAAAAUGAGUAUUCAGAUUAUUUUUUUCAAGUAAUAUGGUUGAUAAAUGAUUCAUCUUUGAAAAUUAAUAUAGUUUUUUUUCCGAAUAACACGAUCGAUUCCAAGUAACAUGAUCAAUGAGCGAACACAAUUGGAUAUUUCAUGUGUUUAAAAAUUUAUCAUUAAUUGAGCCAUGUCCUGUAUUCGACUCUAACUCAUCUCUACAAUGCUCAUUUGUAAGAUUAUAUCAUAUUAAUCAAAAAACAUGAUCGAUGCGUGAUUUGGUUUGAGUUAUGGAGACAGGUAUAUGCAGCGCUAUCGAGUAUUGUUAUUACUAUUAUUUAUAUGUGUAUAUAUCUCAGGUCAUGUUCGAGAGAUAACCAUUAGAAAGAGAAUCCUUAGAAUUAAUAUAUUAUUUUUAGUAUCUCUUAUGAUCAUUAACUUAUUUCUAAUAUUACUUAGGGUUCUGCACUAAAACUGUAUGAAAAAAAUGUCCUACUUAUAUAUUAUAUUUUGAAAUUACUUUUUGAACACGCAACAAUGCAAAAAAACAUGUAUUUUGAUUUAUAUCAUGAAAAUCUAUGUAAGUUAUAGAGUUUUACGACAGAACCUUAGUGUUAAGCACUGUUCUCUCUAGAGCGCGACCCAUAUAUAUACAUCAUAUCAUAUUAAGAUUGAAAAAUAUUUUUCAUUCUUUUAAGAUAUCUUACAUUUUCCAUAAAAAAUAUAUAUAUACCUCACAAUCAAUUUGAACCAAUUUUCAAAUAAUUUAUUCUCUUGUUUCAUGACUCAACCCUCUUACUUCUCUACAGUUGUCUGUCAGAAUGAAUGAAAAUCUGAUUUAGAAAGACCAAAAUAUUAGCCGUUGCAUGUCAAUCUUAAGGUCACUUCGCAGUCCACGUGGCACUCCACCAGCCUUUGCUUAUUCGUCCUUGUAGCGGAAUACACGCUUUGCUUUUUUCUCUUCUGACUGUUGUUUUUCCUAUAAAACAUUUAUGUUCGUAUCAUUUGUGUAUUUUAUUUUCAAUCAUCAUAGCAGCCUUAACAGGACACUUUCGUACAUGAAAUUCGGAAUUUGUUUGGAUUCUUAAAUUUUCGUUUUUGCCUUCAUCUGAUAAUCCACGGUUAUGAAUUGGCUGGAUGAUCUGGGCUGCUAAUUAAAGUAUACAGCCUUCAGUUAACCAGCAUUAGUUUCGACGCAAUAUUUAACUAAAAAUUUAUCUUCAUACAAUGCUGUUAACCAAAUUGAACUCACAUGUAUCAUAACUGUAUUGAAAUCACACGAUCGGGUAUGAAAAUGAGAUUCCAUGCAGAUUUCUCGUUAUCUCGACGGGUCUCGUUUUGUUUAACAAAAAUGUUAAUCUAAUAACAAAAAAUCAUACAACAAUCUCGCUUCAUGCAUUCUCGUUGGGUUACUGGUACCCUUUUCAUCAUGCCCUGAUAGAGCUAUCGUUUGAGCCAUCGACCAGAACUGCGAUCACAUACAAAUUUCAUCAUCAAAACCCCCACUUACAAUUAAGAAACGGAGACAAAACUAUCAAUAGAGAGAUAAGACAACCUGAAAAUACAAAUCGAAAAUCGAAAUAAAAGCAAACUGAAAAGAAAUCAAAACAAAAAAACUUAGAUCUAAUAGUCGAAACCACAAGAUAGACGAUUAACUCUCCGAUCUGAUAAGCUUCGCUUGAAUCGAAUAAAAAAGUAACUCAAAAACUCUGAUGAUCUAGAUAUAGAAAAACAAAUCGAACGUAAUUAAAAGGAUAGAAAUUCUUCCCCGAGGAGGAAGAUUAUUGAAGAAAACAAACCAGAAAAUACAAAUAAAAGAGUUUGGGGCUUUCCACCGGUGAAAGCCGAUGGAAGCCCCUCAGAUAAUGGAAACGGCUAGUCGGCUACUUCAAGGGCAGAGAGAAUUUUAGGGUGUGUUAGAGAGAAGCAUGUAGGGGUGCCCAUGGGUUAUCAAAACCCGCCCAAACCGAUCUAACCGACCCAACCCAACCCUAAACCAACCCGAAAAUAUUUAACCCGAAUUUUGAUUGGGUUGAAAAUUAUUAAAACCGAUUUAAAUGGGUUGGGUUAGGGUUUUGCCUAUAACCCGCCCAUUCUAACCCGACCCGCAUAUUUUAUUUAAUUUUAAUAUAUUUUAUUUGUUUUUAUUGAAACAAUUUUAGGUUUCUUUCUAUCUAAACUAACAUUAUAUCACAUAUUACUUAAAUUCAUAAUAAAUGCGUGAAACGAUUUCUAGUUUGAACGAAUCAUGAGUUCCGCUUAAUAAGAACUAAGCUAUUGGCAAACAAACUUGAUAAUGAGCUCAAUUGUCUUGAAAAGAUUGUGAAGGUUAAUAAGAACUAAGCUAUUGCCAAACAAACUCGAUGAUGAGCUCAACUUUUCUUGAAAAAUUGUGAAAUUACAAAACUAAGUGAUCUUAUCUCGCACUCAUUUUCUAGUAACCUAUUCUACCCAACCCAAACCGACCCAACCCGAAAUAAAAUCUAACCGACCCAACCCGAUGAAUUUUAAACCGAACUUUAGUUGGGUUAAAAAUUAAAAUAACCGAACUAAAUGGGUUGGGUUAGGAUUUAACAUAUAACCCGCCCAACCCGACCCGCGGGCACCCCUAGAAGCAUGUAUGUCACUUUUUUCUCGACGAGUCUCGUUAUUUAUCCGAUUAAAUUUAUUCAAAAAUAUAAAAAAUAUUAUAUUAAUGGAUUAAUCAUAAGAUUUUUAAGUCCCUAAAAUUGAAGAUUAUUAAUUUUUUGAAACAUAUUGCUUCUGUUUGAGGGUCAACACCUCGUCUUUGAUGGCAAAAGAUAGGAGUGAUAUUACUGUAAGAAAUCUUUGCACGCAAGGUAGAUAGUAUGGUCAUAUAAUACUGCAUACAAUUCACUAUUUUCGCUACCAUGAGUUUUUACCGCAAGAUUUUAAUGCCACUCUUUUGGGCAAAAUCGUGUUACGUGAGGACCCCGAGUGCUGAACAUAUCAACUCAUACGUACUAUUAAAAGGUAACCCUCUUUGUAAAACAUAGGUACGUUCCAUGCCCCGGCUCAUAUAUUUGAUUAUCCAUGAACUCUGAUUUCUUUAAGCAGAAAAGUGAGACGGUAUGCCGAUAAUGAGGUGUUUGGCCAGGCUUAAAAAGCCCCUGACUUUAUAAGCUAAAAACGCUUAUUUGUACCGUUUGUGUAAAAAGUCAAGAGUAAUUAUAAAAAGUUGAUAAUGCUUGGGCCUUUUGGGCAAAUUUAAAAAUAUGACUUCCUGUUUAAAGUAAAGAAAUGAAUCAAAAGUGAGAAUUAAAUAAGUUAAUAAAACAUUUGAAAAAAGAAGUUAAAGUUAUGAGAGAGAAGCUAACAUGCUGCUUCUAUUAAACAAACAGGCCCACUAGCUUUUAUUUCAUGAUUUCUAUUUCUUUUUCAUGUUUAUUUACUUGUAAGUCUUAACUUGCUUCUAAUUUCUACUCCACUUCUUUAUUUUAGGUAAAAAACACUUAUUUUAAACUCACACAAAUGAUCCCGUUGCUACAUGAUAGACUAGAUAAUAAACUUCUCUGAACUCUCGCACCAUCUUAAAGCUUAAAACAAUGCUCUUGCAAACACAAAAUUUUAGUCACCCAUCCCAAUGUGACCAGAAUGGAAACCGAAAACCCAACAAAUUUGUCAUAGAAUCCAUGGUCGAUCUCACUUCACUUCACUUCACAUGCCUAAUGAUUAUCUUUAGAUCUCUAAUAAUACAAAGUUGUUUAAAAAGAGUAGUGGACGGGGCUAGGGUAGGACAGGACCAUCCUUAAACUUGCAGUUUUUGCUUGGGAUUCAUGCUACGGACUCUACAUUUGCCUACCUCACCCAAUUAUUACCACUAUUUUACACAUCAAAUUCAUAAUCAUGCUGCCGAUAAUGGAACACACUGUUACUUAAAAGCUUAUUACUCUCAAUCAAGCACGUGAAGGGCCUAAUUACCGAUUAGUGCCCUUAUAAUUAUCACACUUUAUGACUUAAUCUCAGCUGAAAAUCGUACAUAUAAAAGUAGAAAGGAAUAGAAGAAAACAGUGAAAUUUAGGGGCCCGAGGCUGAAGGUCCUUGUUCUUUAUUAUUUGACCCUCGGGUACCCUGGUCCUACGUUGUACACUGUAUGUUAAUGUCACUGGAGUACUGUUUAUGCAUCAGUGUAAGAAAUAAUCCAAGGAGCAUGGAUGCAUGGUAACAAAAGCCUGCAUUCUUAACCAGCACUGUACUGUCACUACUGUCCUCAUCUUUCCACUCUUUUAUUUCAGAAGAAGGGGCCGUUCGAUUUAUGUUAGAACAAAUAUUUAUCGAUUACAAGUUAUUUAUAAAUGAAUAUUAUUAUUUCAUUUAGUUGUCGGGAUAAUUUGGCAUUUAUAACUUAAUACCUGUCAGUUAUUAAUCUCGUGCUUAUAUCUGUCAGUUACGCCAACUGAGGCUGGGGUUACAGUGUCCCCAUAUAUUGAACAAUCUUUCGUUUUGUAAGGUGAGUUUUGGUGAUAAUCACCACCAUUUUAGAGUCAAAACGGGCUUCUCAGAUCUCCCAAUACACCAAUUCAAUCAUUAUCAACGGAUCAAAAUAACAAAAUAGAACACACCAACCACCGGAAAAAAGAGACACGAACCCCUUCAAAAGAAGAGACAUAAGACACCUAAAAGGAUUGAUGCAAUGCUCAAAAAUCUCACCCAGAAGAUGAAGAUUAUUGAAAAUUAUUGAAGAAAUAAAACAAAAAAAAACUAGAGAAAGAUCAGAGUAUGGUUGUGGUGACUAUGAUUAUUUAGUUUGAGUGUAUGAAGAUGAGGAGGCAGCCGGUAUGGAUGGANNNAGAGACUCAUUAUAAGAGUUUUAAACUUGAAAGAGAAUUUGACUACAUAAAUACAAUGUUGUAAAAAGUGGGAAUCAGACUUAAUCAGAGACUCAUUAUAAGAGUUUUAAACUUGAAAGAGAAUUUGACUACAUAAAUACAAUGUUGUAAAAAGUGGGAAUCAGACUUAAUCAGAGACUCAUUAUAAGAGUUUUAAACUUGAAAGAGAAUUUGACUACAUAAAUACAAUGUUGUAAAAAGUGGGAAUCAGACUUAAUCAGAGACUCAUUAUAAGGGUUUUAAACUUGAAAGAGAAUUUGACUACAUAAAUACAAUGUUGUAAAAAGUGGGAAUCAGACUUAAUCAGUGAAGUCACUGAAUAAGGAUUAAUCGGAUUAAUCAGUGAAUAAUCAGAGAUUUAAUCAAUUCGGCGAAUUACGGAACAAGGAUUAAUUGGUGAUUAAUUGUGAUUAAUCACCGACUUUCAAAAUAGAGCUUAAAUAUAAUAAAUACUCGAUUACUUUCAAGACCCGAUCAAUUAAUGUAUUUUGAAACUAAUAUAAAAAACUUUUAAUAUUAUUAUAUUAAUAUUGUAAUACAUCUCAUUUGUGUUACUGGUAAUUAUUCUAAUUAAGCAUGAUUAUUCAAUUAAUUCUAAUACAGCAUCUCCAUUGAUUAAUGAUUCUCUCUUUAUACUGUACUGGCCGGUUUUAAACAUAUCUUCUGUUUUAUGUUCUGAUAAUCUGAUGUCGACGUAUAGAUUCACAUUGGACCUAAUUUUCUUUUUCUGGGAAUAUGAUAUAUGAUAGUAUGAACAAGAAAGGGUGCAACUUGUUGAAAAAAAUAAAGUGUGGUUCUUAAAAGCAUAAAACGACUCCCAACUCACUGUAUAUUGACAAGGUAGAAGGCUGGAUUAAGUCAUUACAUAGCUUAGGUCUUCGAAUAUAUAAGCUAGCCCUAGAAAGUAUGUAGAUCCCCCCUCCCCCUCUUACACUUAUUUAUCGCACAAUGAAAAAUGCAGUAAAGUUUGCCAAGCUAUGCAGAUUCGAGUUUCAAAUUGUCUUGGAGGGAGAUUUUUUAAAUAAAUGAUGAACAAACACUAUUAUAAUAACAGAUAUUUUUGAUUUUAUGAACUGUUAUUUAAGAGCCCAAAAGGGCGCUGAACGGGAAAUGCCACGCACAUUUCAGAAACAAGCUCAGAUUCAUCGGGAAAUCAUAUCUAUACUAGUAAAUAGUUUGUAGUCCAACUUUUUAAUUACUCCCUCCGUCCCUUUUUACAUGUCCCUUUUGAAAAAAAAAUUUGUCCCAAAUUACUUGUCCACUUCUCUUUUCAAAGCAACUUUUUGUAUGUUUUUUCAAAAUGUAACAACUUCCAAUGUUUGACUAGCAUAUAUAUAUACACAACUCUAUCUAAUUCAUUACAUUUAUUAGGGAUAAGUAUGAAAACAAGAUAUCCACCUAACAUUUUCUUAAAAUGCGUUAUUUUUUCAAAAGGGACAAGUAAAAGGGGACGGAGGGAGUAUAAUUUUUGAUUUAGUUCUCUCCGCAACAAGUCUAGGUAGAGGUCUUUUUUAAACAGUUUCAAAUACUAAAAACACUCAUGAUAAUGUAUUAUCAUAUAAUAUUUCAUAAAAAAAAUUAUUAUGAUGUUAAAAAUAAAAUAAUAAAUAUAUUUAGUUAUAAUUUUUGGUUUGGUACUCUCUCCUGCAACUACAAGUCUACCACACGCAGAGGUCUAUUACUUUUACAUUGUCAAACAGUUUCAAAUACUAAAAACACUAAUGAUAAUAUAUUAUAUUAUCAUAUAAUAUUUCAUAAAAAAAUUAUAAUAAUGUUAAAAAUAAAAUUAUAAAUAUAUAAUUUUAAAUAGAUAUAAUCUGUUGGUCAAUAUAAUUUAAUUGAAAUUCAAUUUAUUAAUAUUAAAAUACUAUUAAAAUGAUGUUAGAAUUUUAAUUAUAAAUAAUAAAUUACAAACUAUAUUACCGCCCGUGCUUCGCACGGGUUAAAGGCUAGUAUCUGUAAAAGAUAAAACACAUGUUGAUGUUUAUAACCUAGAAAAUGCAGAUGUGGUCUUAAAAGGCUGUCGCGUGCCUAUCAAAUAAUAAUAUAUCUAACAAACCUCCUAACUAUGUAGUAAGGUGAGCACGAUUGGAUAGCCCAGUGGUGGGUUUAUCCUCUGUUGACCCGGGACACCCGGGUUCGACUCUGGCUCACCCCGAGAUUUAUUAGAACAGAUACUAAGUUGUAAGGCAUAUAAGCCUGCAUUGUCAAAAAAACUAUGUAGUAGGGUAAGUCAGAGUCGUUCCCACAGAGACAAACGUAUCAAACACUAGUUAUUCUCGAUUCAAUCCAACUAAUCAAGUAACACAAUAAAAGAUGGAGAUAUAACUAAACUAAUACAAAUAAAAUCUACAAAACAAUUAACUAAAAAUAUCUAGAAUCAAGUAUCCCCACUAGCAUGAAUCAAUGCAAUUAUGAUUUUCUCCCCCAAUUAAUCAGAUAAAUUACCCAAGAGGAAAGAUGCGCCCUAUAAAAUACCAAUAACCUCUUCCGAGUAUUAAUGGCUUCUCUAAAAUACAAUCAAGCCUAUUUCCAUGGUAUCAUGCAGUUUGGAGACAUUAAACACAACAUCUUAACUUCCAAACAAUUCCUUCUACCUAUUUCCAUAGAGAAGUUCAUGUCCUUAUUGGAUAAAUCACAACCAUCUAAAUCCAACUUCUGACCUCUUCCGAGUAUUAAUGGCUUCUCUAAAAUACAAUCAAGCCUAUUUCCAUGGUAUCAUGCAGUUUGGAGACAUUAAACACAACAUCUUAACUUCCAAACAAUUCCUUCUACCUAUUUCCAUAGAGAAGUUCAUGUCCUUAUUGGAUAAAUCACAACCAUCUAAAUCCAACUUCUGAUGGUAGAUAGAUAUCGGUUCAAACAAUACAGAUAAUCACGUCUGACCUGUUAUUGUUAAUCAGCACAACUCAAUAAGCAAGAGUAAAUAACAUAAUCAAUCAGAGAUCAUCAAAAAUCAGAUAUCACGUAUCAACCAUAACUAGGGUUCAACUUAAUUCUAGAAUAAAAUCUACUCUAGCAUAAUCAAUAUAUUAAAGAAAACAAAGAUGGAUAUUACAAUGAAGUCUUCAAUCCCGAAGUCUUGAAAAAGAAGAGACAAAGUGUUUUAACCUAACCUAAUUAUACAAUCCUCCUCUAAUGUCUAUCCCUAUAAAUAUAUAUUUGAUUUUAAUGCUUACAAGGAAAUACAAAUCAGUUUCCUAAACGGAAUUAGUUUGUCCAAGGAAAAUUCGUAGCUUUGUUUUCUCUCAUGUUUCUGGGCUAAUCCUGUUGGAUUUUGGAUAUUGAACCAUCUCUGAAUUAAAUAAAAUUCGCUAAGUUUCGCGUGUGCUGUAAGAUCAACCAAUUCUGACUUCUAGAAAUCAACAUAUGGCCCAAACACUGAGUCAUGGGCAAGCAAUCCAACAAAUCCGAAUUUCCUUCUAAUUAAUCUCCAAAUUAAGUUCUUUAUUCCAAUUUCUUCCAAGUUUAGGAACUCCUUGCUUCCUACAAUAAAACAUUAAAAUCUAUGUUAGGUCCAGAAAUGAUUGUAGAAGGNNNNNNNNNNNNNNNNNNNNNNNNNNNNNNNNNNNNNNNNNNNNNNNNNNNNNNNNNNNNNNNNNNNNNNNNNNNNNNNNNNNNNNNNNNNNNNNNNNNNNNNNNNNNNNNNNNNNNNNNNNNNNNNNNNNNNNNNNNNNNNNNNNNNNNNNNNNNNNNNNNNNNNNNNNNNNNNNNNNNNNNNNNNNNNNNNNNNNNNNNNNNNNNNNNNNNNNNNNNNNNNNNNNNNNNNNNNNNNNNNNNNNNNNNNNNNNNNNNNNNNNNNNNNNNNNNNNNNNNNNNNNNNNNNNNNNNNNNNNNNNNNNNNNNNNNNNNNNNNNNNNNNNNNNNNNNNNNNNNNNNNNNNNNNNNNNNNNNNNNNNNNNNNNNNNNNNNNNNNNNNNNNNNNNNNNNNNNNNNNNNNNNNNNNNNNNNNNNNNNNNNNNNNNNNNNNNNNNNNNNNNNNNNNNNNNNNNNNNNNNNNNNNNNNNNNNNNNNNNNNNNNNNNNNNNNNNNNNNNNNNNNNNNNNNNNNNNNNNNNNNNNNNNNNNNNNNNNNNNNNNNNNNNNNNNNNNNNNNNNNNNNNNNNNNNNNNNNNNNNNNNNNNNNNNNNNNNNNNNNNNNNNNNNNNNNNNNNNNNNNNNNNNNNNNNNNNNNNNNNNNNNNNNNNNNNNNNNNNNNNNNNNNNNNNNNNNNNNNNNNNNNNNNNNNNNNNNNNNNNNNNNNNNNNNNNNNNNNNNNNNNNNNNNNNNNNNNNNNNNNNNNNNNNNNNNNNNNNNNNNNNNNNNNNNNNNNNNNNNNNNNNNNNNNNNNNNNNNNNNNNNNNNNNNNNNNNNNNNNNNNNNNNNNNNNNNNNNNNNNNNNNNNNNNNNNNNNNNNNNNNNNNNNNNNNNNNNNNNNNNNNNNNNNNNNNNNNNNNNNNNNNNNNNNNNNNNNNNNNNNNNNNNNNNNNNNNNNNNNNNNNNNNNNNNNNNNNNNNNNNNNNNNNNNNNNNNNNNNNNNNNNNNNNNNNNNNNNNNNNNNNNNNNNNNNNNNNNNNNNNNNNNNNNNNNNNNNNNNNNNNNNNNNNNNNNNNNNNNNNNNNNNNNNNNNNNNNNNNNNNNNNNNNNNNNNNNNNNNNNNNNNNNNNNNNNNNNNNNNNNNNNNNNNNNNNNNNNNNNNNNNNNNNNNNNNNNNNNNNNNNNNNNNNNNNNNNNNNNNNNNNNNNNNNNNNNNNNNNNNNNNNNNNNNNNNNNNNNNNNNNNNNNNNNNNNNNNNNNNNNNNNNNNNNNNNNNNNNNNNNNNNNNNNNNNNNNNNNNNNNNNNNNNNNNNNNNNNNNNNNNNNNNNNNNNNNNNNNNNNNNNNNNNNNNNNNNNNNNNNNNNNNNNNNNNNNNNNNNNNNNNNNNNNNNNNNNNNNNNNNNNNNNNNNNNNCUGAACUCCUGANNNNNNNNNNNNNNNNNNNNNNNNNNNNNNNNNNNNNNNNNNNNNNNNNNNNNNNNNNNNNNNNNNNNNNNNNNNNNNNNNNNNNNNNNNNNNNNNNNNNNNNNNNNNNNNNNNNNNNNNNNNNNNNNNNNNNNNNNNNNNNNNNNNNNNNNNNNNUUUGACUAACUGAUACACAGAUGUACUGUCUGGUUCAUCUGUAUCUAGUUAAAUCAAAUAUUCUUCGUCAAAUAAACAAUAAGAAUUUGGUUAGUUCGUCGAGUCUUCGUCUUGUACGUACAUCUUCAUUAAAUGGAAUCUUCUGAUGAAAUAAAGUAUAGAAACUUUAUGUCUUCUGAAUUCCUGGACGUGCCACAAAAGAUUAUUUGUGCACUGAGGCUUGAACAUAUUAAUGAACUUCUUUCAGUGGCGUGCAGCAGCAUCCUGGAACUUAUCUGACAUAUGAUUUCCAUAAAUCAUUUGACGUUCUUCGUACUGAUUCCGAUGACUUGCUAUUUACUGAGCUUUCUGAUCUGAGUUGAGUUGUACCUCUUUAAAUACAAAUAGGCUGAACAUAUGCCUUUCAAUCUCCCCCCAUUUGUUUGUUAACAUAACAUGCAAAUUUCCUAGAGGAUAACUCAACUAACAGAUAAGACAAAGAUUUAAACAAUGGAAUGUAAAUAGCAAAAGUUUAUGGUUACUGUUUUCAGAUCAAGUGUGAUUAUAGCAGGCUAUUAUGGAAAACAGUAAAGUGCAGAAAUGUAAAUCAGACACCAGCAAUUUUAGCCAGGUUCGACCCCUAUGUCUAAUGGUCUACGUCCUGGUCCCUUACCAACUUGGUAAGAGGAUAUAUUAUUACUGAAAAUUACAACAAUUACAGAAUAAUAAUAUAUCUCCCUUUACCCAGUCACCUAAAGCAGCUUGCUGAAACCUUGCGCAGACAGAAAACAGCUCGACACUCUAGUCCCCUGUGCACCUGUUCUUGAACCCCUGAAUUCCUUGAGCUUCCCUCCUUGAAUUCACCUUGUUCCUCGAACCUUAGCACCUCAGACCUUGUGAAGACUAAUUCUAUCUAACUCCCCCUUUGUUCUAUACUUAGAACCCCGCUAGCUUUAGUGACUAAUCAAAUACAACUUUGAAUAACAAUGAGAGAUUACAACUCAAACUAUAUUCUCUAAUAAGAUAUGAAUCAAACACACGAUAUAAGCUCAGAAGAGAAUUUCAGAAUGUUUUCAAGAUGGUGAGUUGUUAACUAUACUUCAGCAAGCCGUAUAUAUACUAAAAACUAUAACGGCUAUAUUGAAACAAACCUCCAUGAACGUUGCACAAGUGAACGUUGCAGGUUGUUAGUUCAAUAUUAUACUCCAUAGAAAUAGAAGACUGAGUUUUAGAAAGACGUUUGAAGCAACAGUCCCUAUUAAAAUGGGAUAAGGAAAUGUGUUUGAAAAAGAUAAGUUUAAAGCAUAACCACUUCCUUGAAUUUAGGAAACGUUUUCAUUUAAAUAAUCUGAGCUUAUAAUAUGUAUAUUUAACUCAUAUUCAGAUUAGAAAACGUACACCUUAAGUCCUAUAAAUUGUAGAAGUCAACAGCUGCAAUCUUUGAAGUGUUCUGCUUCUGGUAGGACUCUAUUAUAGCUUGCUAUUAUAAAACAGCUCGCUAUAAUUCUGUUAUAGUAAAAUUCCUGCAACACAAGGUUAGAAAUACAAAGCAGCAGGCUAUAACAGUAUGUCAAGCUAAAAUAGCUUGUUAUCUAUCUGUUACUUAUAAAUCCUGCAGGGUUAGAUUGUCAAUACAAUAUAGCAGGCUGUAACAGAGUAAAUACAUUAUGUUAAGCUGAAAAAGAUAGUAGCUUGCUAAAGUGUGUCAUCAUCAAAACUUGGGAUUUACAAUCUCCCCCUUUUUGAUGAUUACACAAAUAUCAGGAGUAAUACUCCCCCUGAAUAUGAUAUCCCUGCAUGUUAGUUAAUAACAAUGAUAUUCUAACAGAGAUUAUCGAAAAUAGCUACUCAAGCAAUUUUAACACAAUAAGCUUAACAUAAACUGACUUAAAUAAAAUCCAGCAAUUCAAACCAAGUCAGUACGCUGUUAUCACAGCACAAACCAGCAUAAACCAAAAACCACAUAAGCAUGUCUUGCUGAUAUCUCAGUACACAAAAUAAGUCUUAACCACAUAACAUAAGUCUGAUAAAAGCAUAAGAAUUAAAACUAAUUUGGGUUAAAACUAAUUAAAACCCAAAUCCCCCCAAGCCAAGUACUCCUGAUCUUCUCCCCCUUAAUCAGCAAAAAGAUCAUCCACAGCAGCCUGAUCUUGAUUGACUGGAGGAGGAACAUCAGACGAACCCGAAGCAAUGGCAGUAGAGGAAAUCUGAGGAUUGAUGAGGUCCUUUGCAGCAUUCUGAUCAUCCUUAUCAGCCUCCUUAUCAGCCUCUGUAGUAAUCCUGGCAGCACUAACAGCAGACUUAGCUUUCCGAAAAUAGCCAAGCAAUUCAGUAGCCAUUCCCUUGAGUUCUGUGUUCUGUGCCUUGACCUCAGUAAGAAUAUGUUUAUAUUCUGCAAAGUCCCGCUGAAUAUCAUAGAAUUUUUCUUCCAGCUUAUCAAAAAGCACCUGAAAACUGGGAGCAGCAGAGGAGGAUUCUGGAAAGCUGGAGGCAGAGACAUGUGCUGGCAGAACUGGUGGAGGGAUUUUUUCCAAGAAUCCAAGCUCAUUGAUCUGAAGACUGGACUGAGCUAGACUUGAGCAGUCAAUAAAAUCAGUAGCAUCAACAGCCUCUUUUUCUUCUAACUUCACACCAGAGAACUCAAACACCCGAGUGAGUAAAAGAGCAUAUGGAAAAGCACGGGUUUUUUUCUUCAAACAAUCCAUCAUAUUGUGUAAUAUCAACCCAGAAAUAUUAAACCUCUUCUUUUUCAACAGCAAAGAGACAACAAUCAGAUCCUGACAAGUUAAACCAGAGCGACUACCAAUGCGAGGACAGAUAUUCGUGCGAGAUAUUUUAAACAACACGUGAGCCAUAGGAUCAAGCAUUGCAGUAGUAGGCAAGGAGAGAUCAGUGUUUUCAGGAUCCUCACGAACUAAACUAUGUUGCUCUAGUUCAGGCAAAUCAUCAAAUAGAUCACAUAUACCCUUUUUAGUAAGGGGCACAAUCAAAUCAUCAGUUAAAUUCUUAAACUCCAACAUCCCAUUCAAAAUAGUAGCAUUAAGAACUAUACCCUGAUCCCGGACCCUACUGACAUAACGACCCUUAGAUGGCUCAUGCAGAUUAGCAUAAAAUUCAUGAACUAAGAAGGGGUAACAAACAUCAGGGAGAUCAAUUAACGAACGCAUCCCAAUAGAGUCAAAAAUAUCAACUAAGCCACAUUCAGCAAAUUCCGAUCCAACAACAGAUUUUCCAAAAAUAACUUUUCGACCAACAAAAUUGAAGUCGCGAUACCUGGUUUCAAGUUCGGUACUGAUGAAUUUGAUGGCAUACCGAGAUUUCUUGAGAAUGGGGACCGCAGUGGAGUCGUCAUCGGAACUCAGUAUCGCUUCCGCCGAGUGAUUGGACGAUUCAGUUUCCUCGACAGUGGUGUCGAUGAUGAUGCGAUUAGAGGAGGAAGGACGAAGACGCUUCCUGGAACUAGAUGCCGGAGUAGAGGUGUUGCGGGUUUUCGCCAUUGCUAGGGUUUUGGAGAGAGCUUUGUGGAGAGAAUAGAGAGAGAUGACCGUAAGUGAAACUCUGAAUAGAAAACCCUUGAUGGACUUGGUUGGAGUAGUGGCACGCGGCGAUAUGACUUCCCAGAUUGGAGAAUAAAAUAUUUCUGAUAUAAAUCUUUUUGCCGAAAAAUUGGGAGAGAGCCGUGAAAUACUUGACUUUAGAUAAAUUAAGCCCCGUUUAACUAGAUAAAACAUAUUUUAACAAGAUAUAUCAUUUAACAGAUAAGCAUAUAUAUAACAGGAUUUUAAAAUUCAAAUUGAACGCUAAAUACGGAGCACAGAUAAACACAAAAGCAAUUAAUGUAACACGGAGACCGGGGUUGACUGCCAACAACCACACAUACCAAACGUCAUAUACAUAACAGCUUGCUAGAAUUAAGGGAAAUGCAAAGGAGUAAGCUACUUACCUGUAACAGCUUGCUGAUUUAGACAGUGCACAUACCCAAUUCCCUGCGAAUGAUGAGAAAUCUUUCUUCUGGCAGAGGUUUGGUAAAAAUGUCAGCAAGCUGAUAUUCUGUAGGAAUGUAGACUAGACUGAUCUUUCCUUUGGCCACAUUAUCCCGCACGAAAUGAUGUCGAACGUCGAUAUGCUUUGUGCGAGAGUGAAGAACCGGAUUUUCUGAGAUAUUUAUUGUGCUAGUGUUGUCACAAUAAAUUGGAACUUUGUCACAUUUGAUUCCAAAAUCCUUGAGAGUUUGCAUCAUCCAAAGAAUUUGAGAACAACAGCUCCCCGCAGCUAGAUAUUCACCUUCAGUUGUAGAGAGAGCUACGGAUGUUUGCUUCUUGCUUUGCCAACACACCAAGCUAGAACCAAGAAAAUUACAAACACCACUAGUGCUUUUCCUAUCCGUUUGAGAACCGGCAUAGUCUGCAUCACUAUACCCCACAAGAUCAAAAGUAUUUGAAAUAGGAUAGAAAAGUCCAAG
rnacentral:lncRNA from 1 species